AUGGUCCUAUGGGGGGCAGCAGUGAGGAAUAUUGGUCAAUGGACGAGAGUCUGAACCAGCCAAGUAGCUUGAAGGAUGACUGCCCUAUGGGUUGUAAACUUCUUUUAUAAAGGAAUAAAACGAGGCACGCGUGCCUUUUUGCAUGUACUUUAUGAAUAAGGAUCGGCUAACUCCGUGCCAGCAGCCGCGGUAAUACGGAGGAUCCGAGCGUUAUCCGGAUUUAUUGGGUUUAAAGGGAGCGUAGAUGGGUUGUUAAGUCAGUUGUGA
rnacentral:rRNA from 1 species